rnacentral:rRNA from 1 species
GUAUUGGCCUACCGUGGCUAUGACGGGUAACGGGGAAUUAGGGUUCGAUUCCGGAGAGGGAGCCUGAGAAACGGCUACCACAUCUAAGGAAGGCAGCAGGCGCGCAAAUUACCCAAUCCUAAUACAGGGAGGUAGUGACAAGAAAUAACAAUACAGGACUUUACGGUUUUGUAAUUGGAAUGAGUUAAGUAUAAACCCCUUUACAAGUAUCAAUUGGAGGGCAAGUCUGGUGCCAGCAGCCGCGGUAAUUCCAGCUCCAAUAGCGUAUAUUAAAGUUGUUGCAGUUAAAAAGCUCGUAGUUGGAUUUCUGUUAAUACCUUAUAUAUAAUAUUUUUUUUUAAAUAUUAUUAUGUAAGAUUAACAUAAUUCAUAUUUUUUAAGACUGAAUUUUUAGUUUUGAUAAUAUGAAAUUUUACUUUGAGAAAAUUAGAGUGCUUAAAGCAGGCUUUUGCCUUGAAUACUCCAGCAUGGAAUAAUAAUAAAAGAUUUUUAUCUUUUUUUUAUUGGUUCUAAGAUAAAAAUAAUGAUUAAUAGGGACAGUUGGGGGCAUUUGUAUUUAA